GAUGAACGCUGGCGGCGUGCCUAAUACAUGCAAGUCGAGCGAACGGACGAGAAGCUUGCUUCUCUGAUGUUAGCGGCGGACGGGUGAGUAACACGUGGAUAACCUACCUAUAAGACUGGGAUAACUUCGGGAAACCGUAGCUAAUACCGGAUAAUAUUUUGAACCGCAUGGUUCAAAAGUGAAAGACGGUCUUGCUGUCACUUAUAGAUGGAUCCGCGCUGCAUUAGCUAGUUGGUAAGGUAACGGCUUACCAAGGCAACGAUGCAUAGCCGACCUGAGAGGAUGAUCAGCCACACUGGAACUGAGACACGGUCCAGACUCCUACGGGAGGCAGCAGUAGGGAAUAUUCCGCAAUGGGCGAAAGCCUGACGGAGCAACGCCGCGUGAGUGAUGAAGGUCUUCGGAUCGUAAAACUCUGUUAUUAGGGAAGAACAUAUGUGUAAGUAACUGUGCACAUCUUGACGGUACCUAAUCAGAAAGCCACGGCUAACUACGUG
rnacentral:rRNA from 1 species